rnacentral:rRNA from 1 species
AAUUGGAGGGCAAGUCUGGUGCCAGCAGCCGCGGUAAUUCCAGCUCCAAUAGCGUAUAUUAAAGUUGUUGCAGUUAAAAAGCUCGUAGUUGAAUUUCGAGACCGGCUUACUGGUCGUGCUAUCGUACGUACUGGUAUAAUCGGUUUCUCCUUUCUGACGAACUAUAAUGCCAUUAAUUUGGUGUUUUAGGGAAUCAGGACUGUUACUUUGAAAAAAUUAGAGUGUUUAAAGCAGGCUCACGCUUGAAUACAUUAGCAUGGAAUAACGGAAUAGGACGUUUGAUUCUAUUCUGUUGGUUUCUAGGAUCGACGUAAUGAUUAAUAGGGAUAGUUGGGGGCAUUAGUAUUCAAUUGUCAGAGGUGAAAUUCUUGGAUUUAUUGAAGACUAACUACUGCGAAAGCAUUUGCCAAGGAUGUUUUCAUUAAUCAAGAACGAAAGUUAGGGAAUCGAAGACGAUCAGAUACCGUCGUAGUCUUAACCAUAAACUAUGCCGACUAGGGAUCGGAUGAUGUUAAUUUUUUAAUGACUCAUUCGGCGCCUUACGGGAAACCAAAGUGU